AUGGGUUAUCAUCAGAUUCGCAUUCGUGAAGAAGAUAUUCCCAAGACAGCAUUCAGAACAAGCUAUGGUUCUUAUGAAUAUACUGUCAUGUCUUUCGGCCUUGUCAAUGCUCCUCCAACGUUCUGUCGCAUGAUGAAUUUUAUCUUCAACCCCUACACCAAUGAAUUUGUUCUGGUGUAUCUCGAUGAUAUCUUAGUCUUCUCCAAGAAUAAGAAGGAUCAUGCCAAACAUUUGCGAUUGGUGCUUGACAAGCUCAGAGAGCAUCAAUUCUAUGCGAAGUUUACCAAAUGUGAGUUCUGGCUUGAUGAAGUUCUUUAUCUUGGUCACAUCAUCUCCGCCAAGGGAAUUGCUGUUAAUCCGGCGAAGGUUUCUGCAGUUGUGAAUUAG
rnacentral:rRNA from 1 species